GACGAACCGUGCGAACGUUAUUCGGAAUCACUGGGCUUAAAGCGCGUGUAGGUGGGGCGGCACGUCGGUCGCUGAAAUCCCCCGGCUUAACCGGGGAACGGGCGCCGAUACGACCGUCCUUGAGGGGCGUAGGGGGGGCUGGAACUUCCGGUGGAGCGGUGAAAUGCGUUGAGAUCGGAAGGAACGCCCGUGGCGAAAGCGAGCCCCUGGACGUCAUCUGACACUGAGACGCGAAAGCCAGGGGAGCGAACGGG
rnacentral:rRNA from 1 species